CCUACGUGUGGCAGCAGUGAGGAAUAUUGGUCAAUGGGCGAGAGCCUGCACCAGCCAAGUCGCGUGAAGGAUGAAGGAUCUAUGGUUUGUAAACUUCUUUUAUAUGGGAAUAACGUGAGGAACGUGUUACUUUUUGUAUGUACCAUAUGAAUAAGCAUCGGCUAACUCCGUGCCAGCAGCCGCGGUAAUACGGCGGAUGCGAGCGUUAUCCGUAUUUAUGGGGUUUAAAGGGUGCGUAGGUGGUGAAUUAAGUCAGAGGUGAAAGUUUGUGGCUCAACCAUAAAAUUGCCGUUGAAACUGGUUGACUUGAGUAUAUGUGAGGUAGGCGGAAUGCGUGGUGUAGCGGUUGAAUGCAUAGAUAUCACGCAGAACUCCGAUUGCGAAGGCAGCUUACUAAACUAUAACUGACACUGAAGCACGAAAGCGUGGGGAUCAAACAGGAUUAGAUACCCGUGUAGUC
rnacentral:rRNA from 1 species